CACUGAAGAUGUUAAGAUGGACCCUAGAAAGUUCCGUAAGCAUAAAGGUUUGGUCCCGACUUUAUUAUCAGCUUUAGCCCAAUUUAUACAUACAAGUACCCGCACCCCCGUGAGAAUCCCUCAAUCCCCCACCCGGGGACGAGGAGCUGGCAUCAGGCACCAAAAUUUAAGCCCAAGACGCCUUGCUACGCCACACCCCCAAGGGAAUUCAGCAGUAACAAACAUUAAUUCAUAAGUGAAAACUUGACUUAGUUAGGGUUAAAAGGGUCGGUAAAACUCGUGCCAGCCACCGCGGUUAUACGAGAGACCCUAGUUGAUGACUACGGCGUAAAGAGUAGUUUGGGGCCCCACAAUAAAUAAAGCCAAAGGCCUCCCAAGUUGUCAAACGCACCCCGGAGGCACGAAGCCCUAACACGAAAGUAGCUUUACCCUCUAUUCCCGACGCCACGAAAGCUAAGAGACAAACUGGGAUUAGAUACCCCACUAUGCUUAGCUAUAAACUCAGAUGCAAGACAUACAAAUAGCAUCCGCCAGGGUACUACAAGGCCGCUAGCUUAAAACCCAAAGGACUUGACGGUGUCUCAGACCCGCCUAGAGGAGCCUGUUCUAGAACCGAUAAUCCCCG
rnacentral:rRNA from 1 species